rnacentral:rRNA from 1 species
AAUUUGAAAUCUGGCCCUUCCGGGGUCCGAGUUGUAAUUUGUAGAGAGUGCUUCGGGGGAGACUGCGGUCUAAGUCCAUUGGAACAUGGCGUCCCAGAGGGUGAGAAUCCCGUAUGUGACCGCGGCUCGAGCCCAUGUGAAGCCUCUUCGACGAGUCGAGUUGUUUGGGAAUGCAGCUCUAAAUGGGUGGUAAAUUUCAUCUAAAGCUAAAUACUGGCUGGAGACCGAUAGCGCACAAGUAGAGUGAUCGAAAGAUGAAAAGCACUUUGGAAAGAGGGUUAAACAGUACGUGAAAUUGUUGAAAGGGAAGCGCUGGCAACCAGACCUGCCCGUAGGCGAUCACCCGUUGUUCUCAGCGGUGCACUCGUUCUGCGAUCAGGCCAGCAUCGGUUCGGGCGGGCGGAUAAAGGUCUUGGGAAUGUAGCUUCCCUUCGGGGGAGUCUUAUAGCCCUUGAUGCAAUGCGCCCAGCCGGGACCGAGGACCGCGCUUCGGCUAGGAUGCUGGCGUAAUGGUUGUCAGCGACCC